GAUUUGACAUCUUCAACUGUGUACGUCCCUUCACACUUGAUCUUAGCCAAAAGGCUGAGACACGAUUGUGUACAUCCCUUCAGUAAUGCGGCAUCCUCUCCUUCAGUGACAUGGAUGUAGAUGACACUUAUGUAGGUCUGGAAGUUCCCCUGUUCAAGGUCACCCACGCAGCAGAGCCAGAAAGGGUGCCUGAGCCCACUCCUCACACUGAGUUCCAAGCCUCCCCUGCCUGCCCUGGCCUCCGUGACUGUG
rnacentral:lncRNA from 1 species